UUAAAUUGAAGAGUUUGAUCAUGGCUCAGAUUGAACGCUGGCGGCAGGCCUAACACAUGCAAGUCGAACGGUAACAGGAAGCAGCUUGCUGCUUUGCUGACGAGUGGCGGACGGGUGAGUAAUGUCUGGGAAACUGCCUGAUGGAGGGGGAUAACUACUGGAAACGGUAGCUAAUACCGCAUAACGUCGCAAGACCAAAGAGGGGGACCUUCGGGCCUCUUGCCAUCGGAUGUGCCCAGAUGGGAUUAGCUUGUUGGUGGGGUAACGGCUCACCAAGGCGACGAUCCCUAGCUGGUCUGAGAGGAUGACCAGCCACACUGGAACUGAGACACGGUCCAGACUCCUACGGGAGGCAGCAGUGGGGAAUAUUGCACAAUGGGCGCAAGCCUGAUGCAGCCAUGCCGCGUGUAUGAAGAAGGCCUUCGGGUUGUAAAGUACUUUCAGCGGGGAGGAAGGGAGUAAAGUUAAUACCUUUGCUCAUUGACGUUACCCGCAGAAGAAGCACCGGCUAACUCCGUGCCAGCAGCCGCGGUAAUACGGAGGGUGCAAGCGUUAAUCGGAAUUACUGGGCGUAAAGCGCACGCAGGCGGUUUGUUAAGUCAGAUGUGAAAUCCCCGGGCUCAACCUGGGAACUGCAUCUGAUACUGGCAAGCUUGAGUCUCGUAGAGGGGGGUAGAAUUCCAGGUGUAGCGGUGAAAUGCGUAGAGAUCUGGAGGAAUACCGGUGGCGAAGGCGGCCCCCUGGACGAAGACUGACGCUCAGGUGCGAAAGCGUGGGGAGCAAACAGGAUUAGAUACCCUGGUAGUCCACGCCGUAAACGAUGUCGACUUGGAGGUUGUGCCCUUGAGGCGUGGCUUCCGGAGCUAACGCGUUAAGUCGACCGCCUGGGGAGUACGGCCGCAAGGUUAAAACUCAAAUGAAUUGACGGGGGCCCGCACAAGCGGUGGAGCAUGUGGUUUAAUUCGAUGCAACGCGAAGAACCUUACCUGGUCUUGACAUCCACGGAAGUUUUCAGAGAUGAGAAUGUGCCUUCGGGAACCGUGAGACAGGUGCUGCAUGGCUGUCGUCAGCUCGUGUUGUGAAAUGUUGGGUUAAGUCCCGCAACGAGCGCAACCCUUAUCCUUUGUUGCCAGCGGUCCGGCCGGGAACUCAAAGGAGACUGCCAGUGAUAAACUGGAGGAAGGUGGGGAUGACGUCAAGUCAUCAUGGCCCUUACGACCAGGGCUACACACGUGCUACAAUGGCGCAUACAAAGAGAAGCGACCUCGCGAGAGCAAGCGGACCUCAUAAAGUGCGUCGUAGUCCGGAUUGGAGUCUGCAACUCGACUCCAUGAAGUCGGAAUCGCUAGUAAUCGUGGAUCAGAAUGCCACGGUGAAUACGUUCCCGGGCCUUGUACACACCGCCCGUCACACCAUGGGAGUGGGUUGCAAAAGAAGUAGGUAGCUUAACCUUCGGGAGGGCGCUUACCACUUUGUGAUUCAUGACUGGGGUGAAGUCGUAACAAGGUAACCGUAGGGGAACCUGCGGUUGGAUCACCUCCUUACCUUAAAGAAGC
rnacentral:rRNA from 3 species